ACGAGUCAUGCAGAGCAAAUAUCGCACCAAACGCGAACGUAAACAAGCUUCGUAUGAAUGAUGCCUAAAACACUACUGCAUUCCUACACCCCACCAUCAGCGUCAAAGAACGCAAUUCGCAACGCACUCACAACUGACUCACGGAAUGAUUUCCGCCACCUUUGUCGGUGAAGUGGAUAGACGAUUGUUAGUCUACAGGACAACUCGCACGAGUUCGCACAGUCGCUCGACGACGUUCUGAAUUCUCCGGGUGUGCUAUUUAGUGAAUACCAGCUAAAUCUCAGUAGGAUUCCAACACUUAGCAAAGUAUCUUACACAUCCGCGGGAACCGAAAGGCGCUAGAAGAUCUCCACACCGCAUAGCAAAGCCAUCACAGCGAGACCACCCUGCACGCACAUACCAUACCCUGAAACUGCUGCGCCCACCAACGAUUGUAGCAAGCCGUUUUCGUUAGGAAGCAGUCCGGAAGGCACACAGAAACGCUCAUCCGCAACAUUAGAGCAUUGUGUAAGCUACGUCGGCGAAGAGCAACGUGUAAAAAAACACCUGAAUACAGACGACACCA